UCGCGUGCUCUGGGGUCGGUGAAAUUCCGAACCGGCGGUGAAAGUCCGCGACCCGGUCACCUCACGGUGACCGGUUGACCAGGUGGAACUCCUGGACCGACGGUCAAAGUCCGGAUGGGAAGACGCACGCGA
rnacentral:ncRNA from 2 species